rnacentral:rRNA from 1 species
UACGGAGGGUGCAAGCGUUAUCCGGAAUCAUUGGGUUUAAAGGGUCCGCAGGCGGUCUUAUAAGUCAGUGGUGAAAGCCUAUUGCUCAACAAUAGAACUGCCAUUGAUACUGUAGGACUUGAAUUUGGUCGAAGUGGGCGGAAUGUGUAGUGUAGCGGUGAAAUGCAUAGAUAUUACACAGAACACCGAUAGCGAAGGCAGCUCACUAGGCCAGUAUUGACGCUCAUGGACGAAAGCGUGGGGAGCAAACAGG